GAUGGAAGCUGUUCUACCAAUUGAUGUAGAAAUUCUUUCUUUAAGGAUUCUAAAAGAGGCAGAACUAGAUGAGACAGAAUGGGUUCAAUCAAGGUUAGAUCAGUUGAAUUUGAUAGGUGAGAAAAGACUAACGGCAGUAUGCCACGGUCGGCUAUACCAAAGAAGGAUGGCCAGAGCAUUCGAUAAGAACAUACGCCUACGCGAAUUCCAAUCAGGAGAUCUAGUUCUAAAGAAGAUCCUCUCAAAUCAAAGUGAUUCCCGGGGCAAGUGGUCACCAACUUAUGAAGAGCCUUAUGUGGUUAAAAAAAUAUUUUCUGG
rnacentral:misc_RNA from 1 species